UAUAUAAUCUACCAAAGCCCAUCUCAAUCGCUCCGAACCUUGAAGCUCCCUCCCACCCACAAAAUCAUCAAGAUGAUGAAGAUGGAUGGUCUGUGAUGAGGGAACAAAGAUACCAUCAAACGCUGAUGCCACGAAACAAAAGCAGUGUUGAUAUCCUCUAUUUUGUCUCUCUGAGACUCCUAUCUUUUUCUCUUCUUUUUUUUUGCGUUUUUAGGAAUAGGUUUUUUUUUUUUUUUUUGCCCUAUUUAAUCCUUUUUUUUUAGUUUAUUUUUAAAAGGAAGAUUACAACAGAGAUGAUGAUGAUGAUGAUGAUGAUGAUAAUAAUAAUAGUAUAAUAAAAGGCAAUAAAUUAGAGUCUCUGAUGCGCUUCUUUUGCUGUAGCGUCUUCAGCGCUGUACGUUGCCGAGAACGAAAUCGAGCUGAGAUUCUGGCACUCGCCGUUCGUAUGCGGUGCGGCGUGUUGCAUUCAGAUGCUCGGACACUUUAUUUGAAAAUAUUACCAACUAACGCUUUGAUUUUUUUUUUCUUUUUUUUGUUUGUUUAUAAUCUCUUGUUUUUUAUUUUCAAGAACAAAAGUUUUAAUGAUCGAUUUCUGUUGCUUCUUGCUAAUCAUGAUUUUGUUUUAGUUCUGCAUCAUUUUCGGUAUGUUUAUUUUUGUGCGAACAUUAAUAAGAGGUUUGAAUUUUCUUA